rnacentral:rRNA from 1 species
GUGCAGCAGCCGCGGUAAUACCGGCAGCUCGAGUGAUGUCCAAUAUUAUUGGGCCUAAAGCGUCCGUAGCUGGCCGCGCAAGUCCGUCGGGAAAUCCACCUGCCCAACAGGUGGGCGUCCGGCGGAAACUGUGUGGCUUGGAACCGGAAGGCUCAGAGGGUACGUCCGGGGUAGGAGUGAAAUCCCGUAAUCCCGGACGGACCACCGAUGGCGAAAGCACUUCGAGAAAACGGAUCCGACAGUGAGGGACGAAAGCUAAGAUCGCGAACCGGAUUAGAUACCCUAGUAGUCC